GAUGAACGCUAGCUACAGGCUUAACACAUGCAAGUCGAGGGGCAGCAUGGUCUUAGCUUGCUAAGGCCGAUGGCGACCGGCGCACGGGUGAGUAACACGUAUCCAACCUGCCGUCUACUCUUGGACAGCCUUCUGAAAGGAAGAUUAAUACAAGAUGGCAUCAUGAGUCCGCAUGUUCACAUGAUUAAAGGUAUUCCGGUAGACGAUGGGGAUGCGUUCCAUUAGAUAGUAGGCGGGGUAACGGCCCACCUAGUCUUCGAUGGAUAGGGGUUCUGAGAGGAAGGUCCCCCACAUUGGAACUGAGACACGGUCCAAACUCCUACGGGAGGCAGCAGUGAGGAAUAUUGGUCAAUGGGCGAGAGCCUGAACCAGCCAAGUAGCGUGAAGGGUGACUGCCCUAUGGGUUGUAAACUUCUUUUAUAAAGGAAUAAAGUCGGGUAUGGAUACCCGUUUGCAUGUACUUUAUGAAUAAGGAUCGGCUAACUCCGUG
rnacentral:rRNA from 1 species